rnacentral:snRNA from 1 species
CCCAACUGCGCGCUAACCUA